UGGUCACUUUGAGGUCCCUGGAGGGAUGGGU
rnacentral:piRNA from 1 species